GGGCGCAUAGCUCAGUUGGCAGAGCGGGUGACUCUUAAUCACUAGGUCCAAGGUUCGAAUCCUUGUGCGCCCACCA
rnacentral:tRNA from 2 species